CUCAAAUCGGUUCACUACUCGCCAUCGUCUUCAGCAGUGCGGUGCUAUCAUGUGCGUGCGCGGAACCACUUGGUAUAAUCAAGGACCUGCGAGGACGCGGGUUGGACGUAGGCGCGGGAUUAUCAGUGCAUUUGGAUACGAUUGAUGCGCCGCCAAAUGCGUCCAUCUUGGAACGUCAUGCGUUGAGGUUUGACUACAAUGGCGUCGGGGUGAGGUUCCGGAUUGAUGGUGAAGAAGACGCAUAUAAAGUUGGAUUAUACUAUGGGGAAGGUCGUGAGACAAAAAGAAAGAAAUAAGUGAGAUGAUUAUUCCGGCGUUGUUGGGAUACAAAACCUCGGCAUUGAUAAUAAUGUCCUUGUUUGGUGUUGGUAUUGUUGUAUUGAAGUCUUUGUUAGUUGCAAAAACCGCUAUGGUCAUCGCAGCGGCUUUCUGGGCGAAACGAUUCUUCGGAGGCGGUGAAUCUGGAGGAUCUGGGGAUAUCAGGAUCACUAUCAUCAUUCAUCUGAACUACAUCCGGUUUAUGCUGAAUAUCCUGGUGAUAUUUCUGAAUUAGGUUAUGCUCAAACUGCAUCAGGUAAUUACAUCGCCUACGCCGCCCCCCAGCAGGACGUCACAGGAAACAUCGAAGACGCCGCAGCGGGAGUCGCCGGCGCGGCCACAUCACAACAGUACACUUACGUGGAGGCGCCGGCGGGAGUCGCGGGGGCGGCGGGGGCAGUUAACGCCACUUCACAGCGACGGCGCGCGUCGGUGAUAAGUAGGCCGCAAGCAAUCCACACAUUCAUAACGGUGAAGAGGAAAAGUGUUUUGCAUUCACGCGCUAUGCAAUAGAGAUUAGGGACGCAAUUCGAUUGCAAUUCAUCACGGCGAGUAACAAAAAGUAAAUUAUUGAGAAUGAUGGAUUGGCAGUAAUGGGAUUUAGAUCCGCGACAGUUAACAGUUUUUAUUUAGGAUUUAUUUAGAAUUUUAGAUAGAAUUGACUUAAUUUUUGCUCAAAUUUUUACUAUUAACUUAUUAACUUAUUUAUUUAUUUAUUUAUUUAUUAUGUGUAUAUAAAAUUUAAGUGUUCGUUAAUUAUUAAUUAUUACUAAAACUAACAAAAAAUUCUCCUACUUAAAUUAUUAAUUUAUUUUUAUUAUUUAUUUAUAUAUAUUUAUUGAAACUAAUGUACAUAUUAAAUUCUUGUUCUGAAUUUGGCAUUCAUUCAUAAUUCAUAAUUUUUAUGAUAUAGUUUUAUAUUCAGAACUGGAUCACGUUAAAUUUUAAUAAUUUAUGGCUUUGAAUUUAAUGUUUUUUGCUAAAAAAGUGUUUGUUAAUUAAUUAAUUAGUGAAAUAAUUAAAUUACAUUGCAAAUAAA